AACGAACGCUGGCGGCAGGCCUAACACAUGCAAGUCGAACGUGAAGCCACCUUCGGGUGGUGGAAAGUGGCAGACGGGUGAGUAACGCGUGGGAACGUGCCUUUCGGUUCGGGAUAACCCAGGGAAACUUGGGCUAAUACCGGAUACGCCCUUCGGGGGAAAGAUUCAUUGCCGAAAGAUCGGCCCGCGUCGGAUUAGCUAGUUGCUGGGGUAAAAGCCUACCAAGGCGACGAUCCGUAGCUGGUCUGAGAGGAUGACCAGCCACACCGGGACUGAGACACGGCCCAGACUCCUACGGGAGGCAGCAGUGGGGAAUAUUGGACAAUGGGCGCAAGCCUGAUCCAGCCAUGCCGCGUGGGUGAAGAAGGCCCUAGGGUUGUAAACCCCUUUCAGCGGGGAAGAUAAUGACGGUACCCGCAGAAGAAGCCCCGGCUAACUCCGUGCCAGCCGCCGCUGUAAGAC
rnacentral:rRNA from 1 species